CCGAUCUAAAGCCUUUAGUGAUGAUUCUGUGAUGCAAAACAUGGGGCACUCUUAACUCCAUGAAGACUCUGCAACCCGGGACUUGAGGCACACCCACACUGGGCGUAAGUAUGUUUCACCAUCAGAGUCCAUUUUUUUGGCUAGUGUAAGUGUUUUGCACUGCAGUCAGGCACGAUGUGUUUUCUUGGCUGUAACGUGCUUGAAACAGUGCAGUGGAGCACCUGAUACUUUCACCCAAAUGGCAACCCACUUAUCCAUGGAAAGAAAACAGUGGGACCUGAGUUCUGUCAGGCUGUCAAGAUUGCUCAUCAAAAGUAGCAGGAAAAGUCUUGUAAAAUUGUGAUAUUUGUAUUGACAGGAAAUAGAGGAAUUAACAGUUUACUGGAUAAUGAUUUAUACUGGUGAAUGCAUAAUUAACACUGCAAAACUUACACAAGGGAACCAGGAGGACUCCACUGACAGUGCCAGAAAUUAGAUGGAUGUAAACAUUAAAAUAAAACAGUGCAAACCACAGACUGUAUAUCGAAUGGACGCCGUCUGCCUCCUCUCUGGGUGAAGCCACUACGAGAACAGCACCCUCUGUUGAUGGGCUGCAGUAUAGGUCAUAAAUCCCGCCUUCGCCAGCAAAGCUUAUGGAGCUGUGGUCAAACUUUAGAAAUUUAUUACACAGAACAUACAUUUUUCUCCCCCCUGCUUGCGUUGUUUUUUUCAUAUCAAUAGAUAUCGAUAUAUGUCACGAUGUAAAAGAUUAAAUUUAACAGUGCUUAAUGGUAUUUUGUCUUUCGCAAUACAAGAAGCUACUGCAUCUUUGAGGUCUUUGUAUCUUUUUGACGUUUUGUUGUAUGGUGUUGCAUUAGACAGAAGGAGGUGCCAGUUUAGUGUCCAGUUUGGCAGAGAAGACUGCUGGUGGGUUUUUAAACCACUUGCAAAUAUUCAUGUUUUGCUGCUGCUAGCUAUGAAAUAUAACCUUGCUGAAAGAGCAUACAGCUAACAGCUUGCCGCAUGCAAAGGGUUCUGACCCGGGACCUCACAGGCAAUAGUACUUUAUACCAAAAGUGAGCUUUUGCCGGCGAGGCGGAUGGACAUGUUCACACUAAACAGGGCACAGACAGGAGGUUGUGCUGAGUGUUAUGAGCACCAAUACUAACCUAGCUGAGUGCUUAACUGAGUCUGGAGUAGGGUAGACCAAAAAGCACAAUACUAACCUAGGCCUAGCAUAACCAAGGACACAUUUUACUCAGCACAACAUCCUGUCGGUGCCCUGUUGUAGUGUGAGCAUGGCCAUCCACUUGCAGGGGUUCUGUUCCCCUGCAAGUGGUCAAGAAUUUGUGUUUUACCAAUAUGCGUCCUCGGUUGUGCUAGGCCUGGUGAGUCUUGGCGCUCAUAAUGCUCAGCACAACCUUCUGUAGGUGCCCUGUUGUAGUGUGAACAUGGCCAUCGCCGGCAAAGGCUCACCUUUGCUAUUGCAAAGCAUUAUUGCCAGCGAGGUCCUGGACCAGAACCCUUUGCAAGCGGGUCCUAUGUAUAACAGAGGUUAUAAAUAGGACCCAUUUCAGUCACCAGAGUCAGUCCACCCAAUCCUUGGAGUGUGAUGUAGAGCCGGGACCUCGGAAGAGGUUUGAGGAUGCUGCCUCGGUUGUUCUGGGCAGGUGAGCAUUGGCGCUCAUAUUGUUUGGCACAAUCUCCUGUCGGUGCCCUGUUGUAGUGUGAGCAUGGCCAUUCGCUAGUAGGGGUUCGGGUCCAGGACCUCGCCGGCAGAAAGCUCACCUUUGGUGGUGAUGCUUCCAGUGCUCUUAGUUAAGUAUUUUCUUCCUUUGAUCUCUCUUUCCAUUUUCUUUCUAUCUUUCCCUUUCUCUGUGGGAAUCAAUUCAACUAUGAAAUAUCCCAAUAGCCCCAUAUUGCGAUAUGUGCAUGUGAGGUAUUUGUGCAGACAGAAUGGUAAAGCACAGUGUCAGGUGCUGUUGCCAAAGGGCAAGACAGAUGUCUCUGGCAGAGUCGUUUGGUGCUGCAGGCAGAAACUAUCCAGGUACAGAGGGAGAAAGUGUGGAACUCUAAGCGGUGCUAAGCCCUGUUGCUGUUGGAGUUGUUCCAAGUUAAUGAAUAGGAUAAUCAAAAAGUAACAAAUAGUACAUGAUUCAAUAAAAUACAAUAUAAUCCAAUACUAUAUGUUUUGGUACAAUUAAAUAUGAUAAAUACUAUACGAUUCAUGAUAGACUUUAUUUGUUCCCUUGAAGAAAUGUGAAGUGCUGUAUCUUCUCAGCUGCCUCCACAAUAGUGCCAAUAAAGAAAUGAAUUAAACAAUGCUAAAGACCAGCAAUAAGCUAUGUGCAAACAGAGCACACAUACCAGAGACACCCCAGCAAAUAAGCAACACAUUUUGUUUAUUAUCCAUGUUGCACAAGAGGACAGACCAUAGGGGAAAUAUAAAAGCUGAAGACAUGUACAUCGUGACACUAUUGAACAACCCCAAGUACCAAGAAACCGUUGCUGUACGAUUGCUGAGGCUAGACCUGGUGCUUGUGUUUGCAAAAGAGGGUUGUUCUCUUCGAAACAACCACACCAUGAAAUUGUAAUAUGGCAUGUGGAAGUCAACCAAAGGGAGGGGAAAACACACACUGCGCUGGUGUUAAAAUGCAGAAAACAAGCCCAGGCUAUAUCACUGAAUUUAUGUCUUGGAUCAUCACUAGAUAAAAGCACAAUACACCCGUACCUUCAAGCAACUGCAUCAAAUAUGUUUGUUCUUAACAAACAUGUUUCUCAAUACUUUCUUUGUGUUUCAAAUUGAUUUUUUUCUGGCAGUAUCAGGAAUGCAGGACCAGGGUGUAAAGCAGUAGCUACCUGACGAUAUAUGAGAAAAUGUCUCCUUCACAAAUGUCGUAUUAAAGGUUUUGAGCUGCAUCCGCAUGGUGAGUUGUAUGUCUCCUCAAUCAAUGUGACUUUGUUUUGUCUUGAUGCAUCAAAGAGUCACAGAUAGUUUUAUGCAUCAUAAAAUAAAGCUGCUGAUCAUUUUCCCAACAGCAAACAUUGUAAAUUUAUAUGUUAAUGAUGUUUCUGUUUUCCUCCAGAACUUGUCCGUGCAUCUAGUUUGAAG